AAACUCUGUCUCAAAAAAAAAAAAAAAAAGAAGCAUGCUGACUAAAGAAUCACCCAUUCUGUUUUUUGUUAAGGAACCAAAGUGAUUUUCAUCUUCUAAGUUAUGACCAUCUGUGUGGUUCUGCUCCACUGGCUGAUGCUUCAAGAAAACAGUUUUCAGGCAUUGGUGACACUCCAUGGUAGAGGCCCACCAGUUGUUGACCGUAGACUAAACCCACUCCACUGCCUGUCUUUGUCAAUAAAGCUUUAUUGGAACACAGUCACAGUCAUUCAUUUACCUACUUUCUGUGGCUGCUUACACACCAUAAUGGCAGAGGUGAGUAGCUGCAACAGAAACUGUAUGACCCACGAAGCCGAAAGUAUUUACUAUCUGGCCCUUUGAAGAAGAAAGAGAUGACACGCUUAAGGACCUAGACUGAGGACAUUAGAGAAUGUUGCCUUGCUGUCAGAGUGUUGGUCCUAGAUCUAUUGAGAGAGUGCAUGUGCCCAAAAUAUCUCCAUUAGAGAAAGAAGCUAUAUUUAUAGAGUUUUUCUUUGUGCUCAUUACUCUAAUCAUCAAAAUGAUCCCAUUUACCUUUACUUCUUAGUCCAGAUCUGUCUGUGAAACAUCGUAUAGCCUAUGGAUUAUGCUGGGAUUAUGGUCCAGUUUUUCAAACUUGAUUUAUUACCUGAGCAAUUAGAAAAGCUACUUCAAGGACAGCCAGGUAUCAUUGAAGGCAGCUCAGCUCAGCUUAGCUGCCGGCCAGCUAAGAAGGGGAUGGUUGUGCAGACAGACUGAGAGAGGGAAUCCAUGUAAGCAGAAAAUGUGUGUUGUCCUUAAGAAAGAAAGGCCACAACCACACCAGGCAGGCUUAGCUUGAAAAUAAAUAUCAGCAGGUGUGAGGAGUAUGUUCCUGUUUUUGCAGCUGCAGCUAGAUUCCAAGUCCUGCAGGAAAAGGUGAAGGCUGGGAGGAGAGUCGCCAGUGAGUAAGAGCCAGAUGCUAAAACAUGACUCCUUGGGCACAAGAAAGGCCUAGGCUCAAGACAGGUAGUGCACAAAUGGAGUGCCACACAGAUAGGAAGAGAUGUGGCAAGAGCUCCAGCAAAUUGCAGAACCGUAGAAUAUGCUUGGGAGGUGUGUAAUGCUAUGGUAAAGACAGGCUGACAAAUUCUCUACACACUUAUUAAAAUUUGAGACCAGCCUGGCCAACAUGG